rnacentral:rRNA from 1 species
GACGGGGGUUGCCAGCGUUAUCCGGAAUCACUGGGCGUAAAGCGUCUGUAGGUGGUGAUGCAAGUAUCUGGUGCAAAACUCUGGCUCACCCGGAGGAAAGCCAGUGAAACUGCAUGACUAGAGUGUGGGAGAGGUAGAAGGAAAUACCUGAGUAGCGGUGAAAUGCGUAGAUACAGGGAAGAACACCGGAGGCGUAAGCGUUCUACUGGAACACAACUGAAAAUGAAAGACGAAAGCUAGGGGAGCGAAUGGG